rnacentral:rRNA from 1 species
UGCCAUCCAUAGCGGAGGAAAAGAAACUAACAAGGAUUCCCCUAGUAACGGCGAGUGAAGCGGGAAGAGCUCAAAUUUGAAAUCUGGCAGUCUUCGAUUGUCCGAGUUGUAAUCUAUAGAGGCGUUUUCCGUGCCGGACCGUGUCCAAGUCUCCUGGAAAGGAGUAUCAAAGAGGGUGAUAAUCCCGUACUUAACACGACCACCGGUGCUCUGUGAUACGUCUUCUACGAGUCGAGUUGUUUGGGAAUGCAGCUCAAAAUGGGUGGUGAAUUCCAUCUAAAGCUAAAUAUUGGCGAGAGACCGAUAGCGAACAAGUACCGUGAGGGAAAGAUGAAAAGCACUUUGGAAAGAGAGUUAAACAGUACGUGAAAUUGUUGAAAGGGAAACGAUUGAAGUCAGUCGUGUUCUUUGGAUUCAGCCAGUUCUGCUGGUCUACUUCCUUUGAACGGGUCAACAUCAGUUUUGUCCGGUGGAUAAAGGUAGUAGGAAUGUGACUUCCCCGGAAGUGUUAUAGCCUAUUAUCACAUACACUGGGUGAGACUGAGGACUGCAGCUCGCCUUUAUGGCCGACCUUCGGGUACGUUCGAGCUUAGGAUGUUGACAUAAUGGCUUUAAACACCCGUUUGAAACA